UACCAGCACCCCGAGUGGUCGGGACGUUUAUUGGGCCUAAAGCAUCCGUAGCCGGUUCUACAAGUCUUCCGUUAAAUCCACCUGCUUAACAGAUGGGCUGCGGAAGAUACUAUAGAGCUAGGAGGCGGGAGAGGCAAACGGUACUCGAUGGGUAGGGGUAAAAUCCGUUGAUCCAUUGAAGACCACCAGUGGCGAAGGCGGCUUGCCAGAACGCGCUCGACGGUGAGGGAUGAAAGCUGGGGGAGCAAACCGG
rnacentral:rRNA from 1 species